GGUCUGUAUCUAAAGGAUACCCUAUGCGCUACUCAAAAAAAUAAAUAAAUAAAUAAAGGGGACAUCACAUUUAAAUGAAAAGAAAAUCUACGCUUGUACGAGCAGAUUAUUUGCUGAAUAAUCUACAUUUAAUUUCAGCUUUCAUUAAGUCUUCCUGAGGAGGACACAUACAAAACAUUUAUGAGUGAAAAAGACAAGCAAUGGAGAAGGCAAACGAAAGUGCUCAUGAGAACAUCUCCAAGGGCCAAUUAAAACAGAGACUUGCUUAUGAGAAAAGAGUUCUAAAGAAGCACAACAAGGAUGUGGUGUACACUGUUGGACAAGAGGUUCUUCUUUUCAACAUGAGAAAGCGAGGAAGGAAAGGGGGAUGAAUUGAGCCCGAUUUCAACGGCCCAUACACGAUCCAGGAAAUUCAAGGAAAGCUAGUGACUUUGUCAAGUACAGAGGGUCUACCACUAAAAACUAAAUACAGCAUGGAUCACAUAAAACCUUAUAAAAGGAGUUUGGAACAGGAAGACAGCCCAAUUCCUACGAAACGCCCACACUUGCAAACCCCAAUUGAAGAACCACAAAAAAGGCCUACAGUUAUUGCCUAUGCCCUUCCCGAAGAAGAAAUCGUAAAAUUGCAUUUACUACAGGACCCUUUUCUGCCUAUGAUGUUGUGUUAUGUAGAUUAAAUACAUAUGUUGUAAUUAAAAUGUAUUUAAUGUUCUAUAUCCCCCAAUUUAUCAUUAUUUCAUCUUCUUUAAUAUUUAUUUCAUUCAUUUAAAAGAAAAA